rnacentral:tRNA from 1 species
UCCCUGGUGGUCCAAUAGUUAGGACUUGGCACUUCCACUGCCAUGAGCCUGGGUUCAAUCCCUGGUGGGGGAA